rnacentral:rRNA from 1 species
UGUCACCUACGGGGCGCAGCAGUGAGGAAUAUUGGUCAAUGGGCGGGAGCCCGAACCAGCCAAGCCGCGUGAAGGAAGAAGGCGCCAGGCGUCGUAAACUUCUUUUGUCGGGGAACAAAGGGCGCCACGCGUGGCGUUGUGAGUGUACCCGAAGAAAAAGCAUCGGCUAACUCCGUGCCAGCAGCCGCGGUAAUACGGAGGAUGCGAGCGUUAUCCGGAUUUAUUGGGUGUAAAGGGCGUGUAGGCGGGAAAGCAAGUCAGAUGUGAAAACCAUGGGGUCAACCUGUGGGCUGCAUUUGAAACUG